UGAAGGGGUUAGACAUUUAUUUCCAAAAAAACAUUUUUCACUCUUCAAAGUAAAUUAAGUCUGUCAUAGGUUUUAUUAGGAUUGUGUUCAGACCAAAAAAGAUCAUUUUAUAUUUGUUUUAUACAUCAAUUGUGGUAUCUAUGAGCUGCAACAAAAGGUCAAAAACCGAGGAUAAAAGUCCACCAUUUUAGCUUAGCGGACUAAUUAAGUCAUCAUAGUAGUUCUGGGGUAAGUUGAGCCAGUAGUUCAACUGAGAAAGUAAAGGAGUCUGAUUAGAGGAUCAGAGUUUCAGUUCAGAUUGUUGAAAUGUUUUACUUUUUCUUUUCAAAAAUACAGCUGUGACUGUUCUGAAUCACUUAAAGACAUUCUCAUGUUAAAAUGACUUUUUACAAAACAACUUUUUAGCAGUUACAUGCAAUAAUAAUAAAAAUAAUUAUUGUACCAGUUGAAUAGUGUACAAUAGAUAAAAAUACACAUGAAUGUGAAGAAGAGACUGUUAUUUAGGGAGAGAGAAUGUGAGGGAGGGCUGGGGUGGAGAGUGAGGGGGUAGUAAGGAUAUGGCUCAACUUACCCCAUACACAGGGUAAGUUGACCAUAGGAGACCACUUUUUUGCUAUGCUAUAUUAUCAAGACAGUCAUGUUUACACUCAUUCUGUUGGUUUGCAGGGAUGCACAACAUCUUGAAAUAUAUGCAGAUACACUAGUUAGGGACAAAACUAUGAUUGCCUUGAUGUAGUGAUCUGAAAUAUGAAAAAUGGCUCAUCUUACCCCACUCUCCCCGAUAUGCUGCCUUGGCCUGGUCCCAGAGGAGACCAUUUUUUAGUGGACUUCUAGUUAAAUUAAGAGUUUAAUCAAAGAUCAAAUUAAUAAAAUAGAGAUUUAAAAAGAAUGAAAUGCUUAUCUUAUACAAAGUAGAGCAAGAGCAUAAACAAAAUUACCCCAGGAUAGAAAUAUAUUCAAUUAAAAUACACCAGACAAAAACUAUAGCUCAUAAUUGUUUUUAUAGGUAGCUACUUGGACUAUUGUCAAGAAAAAAAAAAUAUUCUGCAGGAUAAAUUCCCACAGAUAAACCAUGCCAGGCUGCCCAUAGUCUCUCAUUUUCAAUUCUGGGAUGAAAAUAAAAGAGCAGCUCAGGUCCUGAAGAGAUUGCUGAGUUGGUGGGGCACUCCUCAGCAAGAUGGCUGCAUUGCUACGCGCUACAGUGGCAUCCUGGUGAAAUGACGCAAGCCACAGUUUACGCUGAGUCCUCGAGGCUCUGAGCAGCUCUCCAGUCUCCUCGCGCAGAUCCCGCCCGGAAGACCGACCGGCUAUCCCUUCAGUGGACCGAGCGGAACCGGUUCGUCUGAGUAAGUAACAGCGUGAAAUACUUGUUAAUCGUCUCCCAGAGGUGUCAUUUGUCCGCCUGUGUAAACUACGCGCCUGUCUGUGGUUUCUUUCUCUCUUUACUCCAAUCUUUUGUUGUUGUUUCCUGAGAGUAACCGUGAUUACCCGGCGCUUUCCUUCCUCCUGCACACGGGACUCCGCAUCUGUCGAUGUUUUGUUGUUGUUGCUUCUGGUUUUGGGUGCUCACUGCAACGCUAACACGGCUUUGGUUUCAUCGUGGUUCAAAUGAGACGUGUACAUUUGUGUCGCUCGGAGUGUCAGUCCGCUCCCUCGGCUUGGACAGCUCAUUUCAAAUUUUCCACACAUCCUGGUUGGCUCGUGCCACCCUGUCCGUCCUGCUGCUCCUUGCCUGCCUGUCUGCCUGCCUGCCUGCCGCUGGGGAGGCCGUUUGCUGUGGAGGGAAGGGGGGACAUACACUCAACAGAGGGAAUGCUGGACCUGGACCUGUGCAGUUGGAGGCCACGAGCCGUUAACCUUUGUGGAAAUGAAACUAUGUACACACACGCGGAAAGUGUUUGCACUCUCUCUGCCUACAAGUCAGUCUGUAGGGAACAAAGCGCCAAGUGUCUCCCGGCAGCGCAGCUGGACACAGCUGUUAAACCGAGCUGUAGCUCGAGGCCCGGGACUGGAUGGAGCUCUGUGGCCGGACCAUGGACAUCUCCUAGGUGUAUAUUCUUCAGUGUGAUAGUAGACCCUGAGGCAUUUCGGCUGUCUUUAAGAAACUACUGAAAGCUGGUUGCUCAUUACAGCUGUCCAUGGUGAGGCUAGACAGUGGCUGCUAGGUAAUAUCAGGAAAGUCAAAGCACAAAAUACUACACUUGAUAUUAAGGCUGGGCGAUUUGGUUAAAUAAAUAAAUAAAAUGAUCACGAUAUAUUAUGUCAUAUCGUCCGAUCUCGAUUAUUAUAACAAUUUUUUUGGGUAUUUUUUUUCAAACUGCCAGUUUUAAAGCAUCUGUACUAAAAACUAAAUAAACUAGUGGUGUGUCCUAACUCGCAUACAUCCAUACUAAAUACUUUAUUUUUCAAAUUAAGUAUUCUAAGCAUACUAUGUACUCAAUUGCCUAGUGCUUGAGUUUUGAAGGUGCAGUGUUGUCCCAAAUCGCUUACUGUCGCGUGGCGCACUCCCUGGAAAUGAUGAUGCCAUAUCUUCUUCUACGCCAAUUUGUCACCAGCUAGCUCUGCAUCAGCUAAUUACUGCCACCUUUUGCCUGCGCUCGUUCAUCCACUUUUGAGGUAAAAUCAGCAACAAAAUGAACUUUCAUCGCUCAGUUUUACGCCAUAGGUAACGCUUCGGAACUCAGCGGCUACUAGCUAACUAGCAUAUGAGCUAACUGGCAUUUGCGAUGACGUUCGCGGUAAAGGACAAACAGGUUACCCAGGUUACACCACAAAUAUACUCAAAAUGUUAAACGCUGGCGGUGCUUGGUGGAAAGAACAUGUGUAAAAGGCAACUUAUUACUUACAUCUGUACAAAGCUUCCAGGUCGACCGUGGAAGUAUACGAUUUGGGACACACCGUAGAGAUUAGUUCAACAUUUUAUUAUCAUAUAAAGCAAAUUAAAUAAGAUAAACUUGGAAAAAUAAAAGAUAAAAACAUUUUAACCCAACAGCACAACAAAUGUAGAUAAAUAUUAAAUAAUACAGUGAACUAGUUUACAGUCCUGAGUGUUUUUGCAGGUACGCAAGACCCAAAAAAAACAAAUUGUCCCCUCAGAGGUAAUGAAGACACUUUCAAAUGUAAGCAUUAGAUGAUGUAAACGUGGAUGAUAUGAUUGAUUGCUGUCGGUUUUUGAGGGCACCGACCUUGCACAUCGGCUUAAUUGCUCGACGUCACUUUGGAGAAACCCGAACCACCACCACACGACCAACGUUAAAUAACUUGUCUUCUCAACAAUGGCAUCUUCAGAGGAUAACUCAAAGUAACGACUGACAUCUAUUUUGCUGCCCUCUGCUCUGAGUUUAGAUCCAUGUUCGGUCACUCUGUUUACUUCUCUGGCAACUUACAGACGUGAGCAGGAAAAGCUCGACUCUGAUUGGCUGUUGUCAUGCAUUUUUCCGCCAUGUUUGAUCGAGGAUCACCGUUAUCGAACUGAAAUGUAUCAUGAUCAUAUAAUCGCCCAGUCCUAUAUACUAGCAUAUUUAUAUGCAAAUCAUUAAAGGUAUCCUUCCUCACUGAGAAACUAGUAAACAUUAGCAAAGGGACUCCAUAACUGUUUUCUUGUCUGCCUAGCUCCUGCACUCAGAUGUGCCAUAUGGCCAUUAGCUACUGUAGAUUUCCCCAUGUGAUCAACAACACCAGACCAUUAAAUCCAUUUGGUGUUUAUGCAGCACCCUGGUGUGAAAGUGGGUUUACAUGGCCAAGCAUUACAGAGCAGAGUGUCCUGUCACUGGCAGCUUACAUCAGGGUUACAUACAGGAGGUUUACAUCAAACAACCAGCACUCUCGGGAGUGGAUGUCCCAGGCCCCCUCCCAGCUUGAUUUGUGUCCAUCUUCAUUUAUGUGCUUCAAUCUGCCUCCCUCUCUCAUCCUCCCUCUCUUGCUUAUUAAUGCGUGCAUCUGUGUGUGUGUGUGUGUGUGUCACAUAUGUCAUUUGGUUCCAGCAGCAACAAGAAAGACACAAACAUAAGAGUCUCAUUCUCCUCUUGAGCUGGUUGACCAGCAGUUCAGGUGGCCAUUUGGCGCCUGUUUUGUCUAGAUGCAACACCUGUGAUGUCACUACUUCAGGAGGUGGAGGGUUGCCAUGGCUACCAGGAUGUCUCCUCCAUCCGCCUGUCUGUCUUUCUGUCUCUGUGUGUCUUAGGGUGUGAGAGGAAGUUCCCGUGAUGGUCUCGAACAUCCACGUUGAGUUUGCUCUGCAUGUGUCGUGCUCUCUCUGUGUGGCAGUGCUCAAUGCUGUCAAGUGUGAUGAGGCAGCCUGUAUUGCAGUGCAGAAAGCACUAAGCCAGCACAACAUGAUCCCCCUUGUGUUGUGUGCGUGACUGUGCGUGUGUGUAUAUGUCAGUUUGACUGAGGAGCUUGCUGGCCAAUCAUUUUGUCCACCUAAAUGAAUAAUCAAAGCUUGAACAGGAAAUAUCGCAACACAAAAACUAACCCUUAACAGGUUCUGGUCAUUGUAUGCUUUUUUAAAAAUGUCUUGUAUGUGUGGUUAUUUUUGUUGUCCUUCAUUGUGGUGGACGUGCAGAUAUGUACUUGUGGGCUGUUUCUUGCAUUGGUGGUCUUCUGACUGCAGGUCCUUUUGAGUCAGAAGGGGCUGGCGUUGCAGCCUGCAUGCCUGCUUUGUGUAUUUGUGUCUGUCCCAUGAUAAAGCAGCAUGUCUCUGUGUCCCUGACAGUGUUUACUGUGCAGUUUGUGUUCGUAGUCCACUUUGGAUGGGACACUGAGACAGGUUCCAGCACUGAGUUUGCUUGCCAGUUUUUUUUUUCUCCUGUCCUUUUUUUUUCUUUUCUCAUUUCUCACUUGAAACUCCACUCUAAAGUUCUGUGUGAAUCUCUGCACUGUGUUUUCCCAUCAGACAGAAUACAUCUGUUUCCCCGUAGUCACCUUAGGUGAAACAGCCUUUGAUAGGAUCCCUUCAGGCCCAUUUCUUGGUAAUGACAAAACUACCGUUAAAGUGAGAAAAGAAGUGGAGCAGUAAGCCUGGUACUUAAGACCAUACAUGCAAUAGAAAAGCAGCUGAAAGUGAAAAUAGAUCUACAGCAUGCACUUUAGUAUCGCUAUCUAAAAGUUGCACUAUCUGAUCUAUAAUUCAUAUCUAUGUAUUAUCUGGUGGGUUGAAAUUCCAAUACAUUCUUGUCAGACACACAACCAUAUCUGAUUUUUUUUUAUUUACAAACACUAUCGUACGACUUAAGAUUCAAUUUAUUCACUGAACUUCAAGAGUUUUUCAGGACAGUAAAGUCUGUUGUUUGAGCCAAAAUAAUUGUCAAUCAUUUCAAACAUUUAAAACUGUAACCUGGCAGGGAAACAUUCAAGUUUGCCAUUGGCAUCUGCCCUGAAAAACCCUUUACUGACCCUUUUACUGAAAGUUGACCGCUUUACUGAAACAUGUUUCACAAACUGCAUGUCACUGAUCCCUCUCAGAGAUAAUGUAACACUCCCACUCUGCAGACAUUUUCUUUCAUUUUUGACUGUGGAGGGGGAAAAAAAACUGUUUUGUCAAACAGGUGGUUUCCUCUGCUCAGUGAAAACCCUCUUUUCCAAGUCAGCUGUCAGACUAGUUUGUCAGCAGUUUAUGCAAAAAAAGGUGGAGACACACAAACAUCGACUACUGAUAUCAGCGCAUGGAACAUGAUGUGCUGAUAGGCCAAUGUCUGUCAACAGGGCAAGUACUGAGUGAUAUUGACGUUCAGCAGAAACAUCCCUGCAUCCCUAGUAUAUUUUGAAGUGGCCUUCAAGGUCAACUGCUAAAUAUUUUAUGACCACAAAAAACAAACAGUUUACUGAAAGCUAAAAAUAUUUAACUAAACACAAAAAUAUGGAACACAAAAAUAAUUCUCUAGAACAGUGGUUCUCAAGUCCAGUCCUUGAGGCCCACUGUCCUGCAUGUUUUCCCUGCUCACACCUGAUUCAAAUGAUGAGCUCGUUAUCAAGCCAUUACAGAGCUUGAUAACGAGCUGAUCAUUUGAAUCAGGUGUGUUGGAGCAGGGAAACAUUCAAAACAUGCACAACAGUGGGCCCCGAGGACUGGACUGGAAAACCACUGUUCUAGACCCCAAAAUAUUUUGCAUAACCCCUGAAAACAUUUCACCAACAAACAAAAAUAUGUCAUGAAAGACAAAAACAGUUUAUUUUGACUGUUUGUUUUAUGAAGUAUUGAUGUUUGGUGAAAUGGUUUUGGAAUUCCCCGUGAUGAUAUUUUGUUUAUAAAAGAAUUUUAAUGCUUGUUGUGAUUGAAUGUUUGUGCAUUUGCUCCUUGGGGUCACUGUAAUUUAUCCCUUUGGGAAUUAUAAAAGUCUGUAUUGUAUUUAUCAUAAUUAAUUUUUGGUGUAUUUUCUUUUUGUAUCACUUAUCUCUUGUUCUAGAGACUUUAAGCCUUAAACUCAAUAACUCGAUUUCUUGUCAAGACCAGCUAAGGAAAUGCACAAAUUUUGUCUUUAUAUCAGAUAUUUAGACUCAAGAUUCAAACACCUCUGAGAAGUGUUUGCUCACCUAAGAUUUACUAUUGAGGUUUACUUUAACCAGCUUUGACAGGGAUAACAACAUCCUCACAGUAAGAGACCCCAGAGCUGACCACAUCUGUCAGCUCAUCAACGACUGAAAUAACUCAUCCCUGGAGAUACUCACUGAUUAAUUUUCCAUCCAUGAUUGAUGGCUAUCUCCAUUACGGCAAAUUGGUAAAUUAUGGGCCGGCUAUAAAUACAAGACAAACUGUUUUUUUUCCGACCAACAUAACAAAUGAAGGAAGGAUGGAUAUCAAAAGAUAGACAUAUAGAUAUGGAUAUAAAGAUAGAUAGAUGGACGCUGCGUUAUUAAUUCCCCUAGAGACUACAAUUCCUAGACAACUGGAUAACCACACUAACUCAUCUUCAAGACUUAGUGACACAUAUGAGUCCUAGAUGACAGUCAUGUAAAGCAGAAGAACUCCUGUCAUGUCAUCAUGACAAUAACCUCAUGUGAGGUAUUAUUAGUCUGUCGGACAGCUGAUUAAAACCUGUUGAAGAGUCUAUUGAAUUAAAUGUUUCCUGGCCAUGGUCUGUGCGUCACUAUGCCAGAUGACGGGUCCUCAUAGAGAAGUGGUUUGCAUCUGAAAGAGUGAUGUUGUUGCUGUUAUAUCACACCAGUUACGUUGAGCCUUGAAAACCAGGCUCACCUGCGGCUCCUCCAUAAAGGACUGAAACAUUUCAUUGUGUUUUAUUCACACGCCGACUGACAAAUGAUAGAGGAUUGACAGUCAUGCUUCUGCACGCUCGCCAAUUACACACAGAUUGAUAUUUAUUUCCCUGAGCUGUGAUAAUUUCUAAUGAAUAUUAAUGCUGGUAUUCUUUGAUUUUCUGGGUUGUGGGUUGGUUGGUUGGUUUGCAAUUGAGAUGGAUUUGGAUGAGAAGGCAUAAACAUGCAUGACCUUGUGUAGUGGCUGUGUUGGAGGAGGAUGGCCCAAUCAACCAACCAUGUGUGGCUGUUCGAUAGUAAAUAUGAUGAAUAAGCACUUACUCACCAACACUAAACAUGGACACAUACAGGUGAUGAUAGUAAAAACAUCAAUCCUAAACACUUUUAUAGGUUUACAGCAACAGGAGUGUUCCUUUUACUCAUGAGGAACUACAGCCAGCUCAAACCAGUAUGCUUUUUUUUUUUAUUAUGAGACCACAGUAACUGUAACAUUUAAAAAUACGCCUUUAAAGAAAAACAAGAUCUAAAACUAAGUGUAAAGUAAGUAACUCCACUUUUUACACCAAAAGCAGCCUGAUGCCGCACUCUUAUAUCCUCCUUCUGACUUCCUUCUGUUUUUCCUGCAAGUCAGAGUUUCACCAAAACAUUUCUUCGCCAACUCUUCCACCCUUUUGAUCGUACUCUUCACCCGCUGAUCACCCCUGGCUUUGACCUGCUUUUACCUCAGACAUAAAGUGGACGCAGCAGAAGAACAGAGCAGGAGUUUUCAGAGCAAAUGAAGGCGGUCUGACCGCCACUUGCUUUUUUGCUCUUACAGGGAAUCUGUCUUGCUCUCCAGAAGCCAGUGCUACAAAAGCCAGUUGGUAAUGGGCCUCAGAGGAGACAUUUAAUCCUCUAGUCGAGGCUGUAUUUGGUGGAACAAUCCAUUUUUGAAUGGUCGAGGUUCUUUCUGCACCAAGUCUUGGCCCAAUAAAGCUCAGAUUUCACUUCCCUUACCAUGCAAGGCUGAACUACCCCGGUGUCAUGUUCUCACCUACUGCUUUCUGUUUCGCUCUCGUGAUUUCUUUGUUUCAGCUCAAAAAGGGUCUAAAGUGAAGACAUAGGUCUCUUCCUGGGCUAAAUAGGUGCUUUUUUUCUUUGCAUGCACAUGCCACAGCUAUUUGCAGUGCAUCCCUCCAUGUAAGUCACACAGAUAGGCUAAUGUUUCCCACUAACAGGACAGAGGAGCUCCUGUAUUUACCUUUAGCCCCCCCACUCCACUUCGUUUCUACACCCACCCCACAAUCAGUAACUACUUGCCACCUUUUGUGCUACAGUAAGAAAGACCCAAGGGCCACUGCACACUCAGAAACCCUGUAAGAAUCAGAGAGGGGAGCUUUGAGCAGCAGCACAUACUCAGAAACCUUAACUGUCCAGUGUCGUGUGUGCUGGCGCGAGGUCCAAGGCUUGUCAGACUGAUGGAGUGCUUAAACUGGGACAAGAGGAGAGGUGCAGCAUUUGCUGCCUGGCUAGAGUAAAUAUUAUGGCGCUUUGGCUUGAGAGUUGCACUGAAGCUCUGCUCUGUCACAGAGAGAGAGGCAGAGACACUCUGCAGCACACAGCAGUGAUUCUUCACCAGACUUGAGGUACAACAUUCAGAGUUUAGCUUUGACUGUAAGAGCUCAUUUGAUGUAAAAAAAUGUAAAGUUGGUCAGUCAAAGCAGAGCGGUAUGUCUGUGUCUGUAAGAUGAUCCAGAUUUGUCUGGAAAAAUAGUUCUUGCAAUGCUGUUUGUAGUUUUAUAUCAUUGAAACAUCCUGUUAAGAUUGGCUCUUUAACACUUAUCAUCAUGUAAGAAAACAUGGACAUUUAAACAGGAUUAGAUUAAUCCAGUGGUUCUCAAAUCCAGUCCUCAAGCCCCCCUGUCCUGCAUGUUUUGGGUGUUUCCCUGCUCCAACACACCUGAUUCAAAUGAUCAGCUCAUUAUUAAGCUCUGAAAUGGCUUAAUAAUGAGCUGAUCAUUUGAAUCAGGUGUGUUGGAGCAGGGAAACAUCCAAAACAUGCAGGACAGGGGGGCUCGAGGACUGGACUUGAGAACCACUGGAUUAAUCUAAUGUACUUCUGGACUGUCUGUCAUCCAAAACAAGAAUCUGAAAAAUGUAAAAUGCAACAAGCCCGAAACAGAUGCAUUUUUUUCUACUUUAGAGCUGAUGAAAAAGGCGGUAUUGUCCUUUUUAAUGACAAGUAUGAAUCAGUUUGAAAAUAGUAGAAAAAUCUUAUAAGUUUAAAACCUGCUUUAAAAGUCCUCUUUACUGAUUUAGACACUUCAUGUUGCUGAAUGAUUUCCUAAUACCUCUGAAGAUACUGGAGAGAAAUCUAACACUUUCAUGACUUCUAUGGUGCUGUGCUUUAUAUUACCACACUAACUGACUCAUUUUGAUCGUUUUCUGCAGGGUUUUACUCCAAAGGCUGAUCACCUUAUUCCCGCUAACAUUGUAAAAAGAUUUAUGAAAUAAAACAUUAACUUUUGUGGCACUAUUACGCAGGUCAUCUUCUCUUUGUGACUUCUCUCUUUAGUCAUGUACCGCUCUUAUCAAAAUAUGGAUUCCUACAAAGAAAGAUGAAGAUUUAUGCAAGAGUACAAUAACACAACAUAAUGAACCAACCAGCUAAUUUUCCCCUCAGUGUAUCCUCAGAUCAGCAGCAAAGCCUGGCUCAGCAUGAUGAUGAGGAGGAGGAUGAAUCUCAGCUAUGUCAUAGGUGUGUGUGCUGACCGCCACUGAUGUCAUCACUUCCCCUCCCAGCCUUACAAAUCUUUUUCUUACUAGGAAGCAGAAUCACAGUCAGCCACUCCUGCUGCAGCAGCCCUGUGACAGGAAUUGACGAAGGAGCCAAUCUGCUCAUGGAUUACCUGUAACACACCUACCCAGAACUUUGCUUGGCUAGUUUUUCAAGCUCUGUGGUUUGUUCGUCUGCCUCUGGCACAAACCUGUGCUUGAGAAACCUUUGCACUGACUGCACACUGCCUGGCCUGUGUGUGCACUGUGUGUUUAUGCAAGCGUGUACGCUCGAAUCCCCUUGCACAGUCCUGCUAAGUUCCACCUUUGACAAACUGACUUGUAAAGAAAGACUUAUUCACUCAACUGAGAGUAGGUCACGUCCCUCCUCCAGGUAAGCAGGCAUGGGCAGGUUGGUGUGUUUGCCAAAUCAUACUCAUUUUAAGGUCUUGAUCUGUUGGCAUGUGUUAAGGAUUUCUUUUUAGCCUCAGUGUGCACUUAAAAGAGUUGGAACUUUUUGUUUUGGUGAAUUUCAGGCUGCUCUAAGGGGAAAAAACAUUAGAAGAAGUCGACCCC